rnacentral:rRNA from 1 species
GUCGAACGCAGUAGCAAUACUGAGUGGCAAACGGGUGAAGUAUAAUGUCGGGAAUCUGCCUUUUGGUUUGGAAUAACACGGGGAAACUUGUGCUAAUACCGAAUAAGCCCUUACGGGGAAAGUUUUAAUGCCGAAAGAUGAGCCCGCACUUGAUUAGCUAGUUGGUAAGGUAAAAGCUUACCAAGGCAACGAUCAAUAGCUGUUCUUAGAGGAAGACCAGCCACAUUGGGACUGAGACACGGCCCAGACUCCUACGGGAGGCAGCAGUGGGGAAUCUUGCACAAUGGGGGAAACCCUGAUGCAGCGAUGCCGCGUGAGUGAAGAAGGCCUUUGGGUUGUAAAACUCUUUCGUCGGGGAAGAAAAUGACUGUACCCGAAUAAGAAGGUCCGGCUAACUUCGUGCCAGCAGCCGCGGUAAUACGAAGGGACCUAGCGUAGUUCGGAAUUACUGGGCUUAAAGAGCUCGUAGGUGGUUAAAAAAGUUGAUGGUGAAAUCCCAAGGCUUAACCUUGGAACUGCCAUCAAAACUUUUUAGCUAGAGUGUGAUAGAGGUAAGUGGAAUUUCUAGUGUAGAGGUGAAAUUCGUAGAUAUUAGAAAGAACACCAAAUGCGAAGGCAACUUACUGGGUCACUACUGACACUGAGGAGCGAAAGCAUGGGUAGCGAAGAGGAUUAGAUACCCUCGUAGUCCAUGCCGUAAACGAUGUGUGCUAGACGUUGGAAAUAUAUUUUUCAGUGUCGCAGCGAAAGCAUUAAGCACACCGCCUGGGGAGUACGACCGCAAGGUUAAAACUCAAAUGAAUUGACGGGGACCCGCACAAGCAGUGGAGCAUGUGGUUUAAUUCGAAGAUACGCGCAGAACCUUACCAACACUUGACAUGUUCGUCGCGAGACUAAGAGAUUAGUCUUUUCAGUUCGGCUGG